rnacentral:misc_RNA from 1 species
AACCUAGCACACCUGCGGUGUGUACCUGCGGAAGGAUCAUUAUCGAGUUGCAAAACUCCAACCCUUUGUGAACAUACCUCAGUCGUUGCUUCGGCGGUGGACGGCCUGUUUUUCGGAACGGCCGGAAGCCGCCGGAGGUUCCAAACUCGUAUUUUUUAGUGUAUCUCUGAGCCUGAAAACAAAUAAUCAAAACUUUCAACAACGGAUCU